AGAUCAGAGCAGCAAAAUGAGACAAAGCUGAGCUCUGCUUCUAGCAAAUGGUUUUCCCAGAAGGCUUCAGACACCUGUGUGCCUGGAACCUGGCGGGGCUGGGUCUUGUGGGUUGGUGGGUUUGCUGGCAGCAGAAUGCUGUGUGCUGCUCUUCCUGGGACACUGAGCAGUGUAAGGUCUUCUAUGGGGUGUUGACAGAGGGUGCCCUGUGCUCACCUCCCAGGGUUGCAUCGUCUCCUUUUCUGCUGCUUGUUGCAGGCCUGAAGUGGAGUGCCUGAGCCAGGCUGCACCCGUCAGCAUCUCCGUUCCUGUAGCAUCCUGUCUGCAGCAGCAGAGCCAGCAGGGUGGGUGCUGCCCUCCUCCAGCCCUGUGUGAAGGUUCUCCAGCAGCAGCUGUAUGGGAGGUGCUCACCAGUUCUGCCAUGG